rnacentral:tRNA from 1 species
ACUAUUUUGACAGAUAAUAUGUAGUAAAUUUAGAAUUUAUAUAUGUGAUUUAAUAUAUCACAAAUAGUA